AGAGUUUGAUCCUGGCUCAGAUUGAACGCUGGCGGCAUGCCUUACACAUGCAAGUCGAACGGUAACAGGGAGCUUGCUCCGCUGACGAGUGGCGAACGGGUGAGUAAUAUAUCGGAACGUACCCAGGAGUGGGGGACAACCUCGAGAAAUCGAGGCUAAUACCGCAUACGUCCUGAGGGAGAAAGCGGGGGAUUCGCAAGGACCUCGCGCUCAUGGAGCGGCCGAUGUCGGAUUAGCUAGUUGGCGGGGUAAAGGCCCACCAAGGCGACGAUCCGUAGCUGGUUUGAGAGAACGACCAGCCACACUGGGACUGAGACACGGCCCAGACUCCUACGGGAGGCAGCAGUGGAGAAUUUUGGACAAUGGGGGCAACCCUGAUCCAGCCAUGCCGCGUGAGUGAAGAAGGCCUUCGGGUUGUAAAGCUCUUUCGGCCGGAACGAAAUCGCGUACGUGAAUAACGUGCGUGGAUGACGGUACUGGAAGAAGAAGCACCGGCUAACUACGUGCCAGCAGCCGCGGUAAUAC
rnacentral:rRNA from 1 species